rnacentral:rRNA from 1 species
GAUGAACGCUGGCGGCGUGCCUAAUACAUGCAAGUCGAGCGAACAGAUGAGGAGCUUGCUCCUCUGACGUUAGCGGCGGACGGGUGAGUAACACGUGGAUAACCUACCUAUAAGACUGGGAUAACUUCGGGAAACCGGGGCUAAUACCGGAUAAUAUAUUGAACCGCAUGGUUCAAUAGUGAAAGACGGUUUUGCUGUCACUUAUAGAUGGAUCCGCGCCGCAUUAGCUAGUUGGUAAGGUAACGGCUUACCAAGGCAACGAUGCGUAGCCGACCUGAGAGGGUGAUCGGCCACACUGGAACUGAGACACGGUCCAGACUCCUACGGGAGGCAGCAGUAGGGAAUCUUCCGCAAUGGGCGAAAGCCUGACGGAGCAACGCCGCGUGAGUGAUGAAGGUCUUCGGAUCGUAAAACUCUGUUAUUAGGGAAGAACAAAUGUGUAAGUAACUAUGCACGUCUUGACGGUACCUAAUCAGAAAGCCACGGCUAACUACGU